AUUGAACGCUGGCGGAAUGCUUUACACAUGCAAGUCGAGCGGCAGCGCGGGGCAACCUGGCGGCGAGCGGCGAACGGGUGAGUAAUGCAUCGGAACGUACCCAGUCGUGGGGGGAUAACUGUCCGAAAGGACAGCCAAUACCGCAUACGUCCUGAGGGAGAAAGCGGGGGAUCGCAAGACCUCGCGCGAUUGGAGCGGCCGAUGCCGGAUUAGCUAGUUGGUAGGGUAAAGGCCUACCAAGGCGACGAUCCGUAGCUGGUCUGAGAGGACGACCAGCCACACGUGGAACUGAGACACGGUCCAGACUCCUACGGGAGGCAGCAGGUGGGUAAUUUUGGACAAGUGGGACGAAAGCCUGA
rnacentral:rRNA from 1 species